rnacentral:rRNA from 1 species
CCAAAAACACAGCACUUUAGUAUAAGGUGUGACGCCUGCCCGGUGCUCGAAGGUUAAGAGGAUGCGUCAGUCGCAAGAUGAAGCGUUGAAUUGAAGCCCGAGUAAACGGCGGCCGUAACUAUAACGGUCCUAAGGUAGCGAAAUUCCUUGUCGGUUAAAUACCGACCUGCAUGAAUGGCGUAACGAGAUGGGAGCUGUCUCAACCAGAGAUUCAGUGAAAUUGUAGUGGAGGUGAAAAUUCCUCCUACCCGCGGCAAGACGGAAAGACCCCGUGGACCUUUACUACAACUUAGCACUGCUAAUGGGAAUAUCAUGCGCAGGAUAGGUGGGAGGCUUUGAAGUAAGGGCUUUGGCUCUUAUGGGCCAUCCUUGAGAUCCACCCUUGAUGUUUCUGUUAGCUAACUGGCCUGU